rnacentral:rRNA from 1 species
AUUGAACGCUGGCGGCAUGCUUUACACAUGCAAGUCGAACGGUAACAGGCCUUCGGGCGCUGACGAGUGGCGAACGGGUGAGUAAUGCAUCGGAACGUGCCCAGUCGUGGGGGAUAACUGCUCGAAAGAGCAGCUAAUACCGCAUACGAUCUGCGGAUGAAAGCGGGGGACCUUCGGGCCUCGCGCGAUUGGAGCGGCCGAUGUCAGAUUAGGUAGUUGGUGGGGUAAAGGCUCACCAAGCCAACGAUCUGUAGCUGGUCUGAGAGGACGACCAGCCACACUGGGACUGAGACACGGCCCAGACUCCUACGGGAGGCAGCAGUGGGGAAUUUUGGACAAUGGGCGCAAGCCUGAUCCAGCAAUGCCGCGUGCAGGAAGAAGGCCUUCGGGUUGUAAACUGCUUUUGUACGGAACGAAACGGUCUGGGUUAAUACCCCGGGCUAAUGACGGUACCGUAAGAAUAAGCACAGGCUAACUACGUGCCAGCAGCCGCGGUAAUACGUAGGGUGCAAGCGUUAAUCGGAAUUACUGGGCGUAAAGCGUGCGCAGGCGGUUGUGUAAGACAGGCGUGAAAUCCCCGGGCUCAACCUGGGAAUGGCGCUUGUGACUGCACAACUGGAGUGCGGCAGAGGGGGAUGGAAUUCCGC